rnacentral:rRNA from 1 species
AACGAACGCUGGCGGCAUGCCUAACACAUGCAAGUCGAACGAGACCUUCGGGUAUAGUGGCGCACGGGUGCGUAACGCGUGGGAACCUGCCCUUAGGUUCGGAAUAACUCCCCGAAAGGGGUGCUAAUACCGGAUAAUGUCUUCGGACCAAAGAUUUAUCGCCUUUGGAUGGGCCCGCGUUGGAUUAGCUAGUUGGUAGGGUAAAAGCCUACCAAGGCGACGAUCCAUAGCUGGUCUGAGAGGAUGAUCAGCCACACUGGGACUGAGACACGGCCCAGACUCCUACGGGAGGGAGCAGUGGGGAAUAUUGGAGAAUGGGCGAAAGCCUGAUCCAGCAAUGCCGCGUGAGUGAUGAAGGCCGUAGGGUUGUAAAGCUCUUUUACCCGGGAUGAUAAUGACAGUACCGGGAGAAUAAGCUCCGGCUAACUCCGUG